rnacentral:rRNA from 1 species
AGAGUUUGAUCAUGGCUCAGAACGAACGCUGGCGGCGUGGAUAAGACAUGCAAGUCGAGCGCUGAUUACAGGGUAGCAAUAUUCUGUGAUUGGAGCGGCGCAAGGGUGCGUAACACGUGGGUAAUCUGCCAUGAAGUCUGGAAUAACUUGCUGAAAGGCGAGCUAAUGCCGGAUGUGAACACUGGGAGGCAUCUUUUGAUGUUCAAAGCUGGGGACCGCAAGGCCUGGCGCUUCAUGAUGAGCCCGCGGCCUAUCAGCUAGUUGGUGAGGUAACGGCUCACCAAGGCUUAGACGGGUAGCUGGUCUGAGAGGACGACCAGCCACACUGGAACUGAGACACGGUCCAGACACCUACGGGUGGCAGCAGUCGAGAAUUUUUCACAAUGGGGGAAACCCUGAUGGAGCGACGCCGCGUGGGGGAUGAAUGGCUUCGGCCCGUAAACCCCUGUCAUUCGGGAUCAAUGCGUCUGGGUGAGCAACUCAGACGUUGAUAGUACCGGAAGAGGAAGGGACGGCUAACUCUGUGCCAGCAGCCGCGGUAAUACAGAGGUCCCAAGCGUUGUUCGGAUUUACUGGGCGUAAAGGGUGCGUAGGUGGUUGGGUAAGUUUGAUGUGAAAUCUCCGGGCUUAACCCGGAAAUGGCAUUGAAUACUAUUCAGCUUGAGGAUUGGAGGGGGGACUGGAAUGCUCGGUGUAGCAGUGAAAUGCGUAGAUAUCGAGCGGAACACCAGUGGCGAAGGCGAGUCCCUAGACAAUUCCUGACACUGAGGCACGAAAGCCAGGGGAGCAAACGGGAUUAGAUACCCUAGUAGUCC